GUUACUCAGUAUAAGAAAAACAGAAAAAAAUUUUUAUAAAAGAACCUAUAUUUAGGCCCUAGAUUUUUUUUUU
rnacentral:tRNA from 1 species